rnacentral:rRNA from 1 species
UGCCAGCAGCCGCGGUAAUACGGAGGGGGUUAGCGUUGUUCGGAAUGACUGGGCGUAAAGGGUACGUAGGCGGUUUGGUCAGUUAGAUGUGAAAGCCCAGGGCUCAACCUUGGAACUGCAUUUAAUACUGCCAAACUUGAGAUCGGAAGAGGAAAGCGGAAUUUCUAGUGUAGAGGUGAAAUUCGUAGAUAUUAGAAGGAACAUCAGAGGCGAAGGCGGCUUUCUGGUCCGAUACUGACGCUGAGGUACGAAAGCGUGGGGAGCAAACAGGAUUAGAUA